rnacentral:rRNA from 1 species
AUUGAACGCUGGCGGCAGGCCUAACACAUGCAAGUCGAGCGGGGUUUUCGGACCUAGCGGCGGACGGGUGAGUAAUGCGUAGGAAGCUGCCCGAUAGAGGGGGAUACCAGUUGGAAACGACUGUUAAUACCGCAUAAUGUCUACGGACCAAAGUGUGGGACCUUCGGGCCACAUGCUAUCGGAUGCGCCUACGUGGGAUUAGCUAGUUGGUGAGGUAAUGGCUCACCAAGGCGACGAUCUCUAGCUGGGUUGCGAGGAUGAUCAGCCACACUGGAGCUGAGACACGGUCCAGACUCCUACGGGAGGCAGCAGUGGGGAAUAUUGGACAAUGGGCGCAAGCCUGAUUCAGCCAUGCCGCGUGUGUGAAGAAGGCCUUCGGGUUGUAAAGCACUUUCAGCGAGGAGGAAGGGGUGUGUGUUAAUAGUACACACCUUUGACGUUACUCGCAGAAGAAGCACCGGCUAACUCUGUGCCAGCCGCCGCAGUAACAC